rnacentral:rRNA from 1 species
GCAUAUCAUAGCGGAGGAAAAGAAACUAACAAGGGAUUCCCCUAGUAACUGCGAGUGAAGCGGGAAAAGCUCAAAUUUAAAAUCUGGUCGUCUUUGGCGAUCCGAGUUGUAAUCUAGAGAAGUGUUACCCGCGUCGGACCGUGUACAAGUCUCCUGGAAUGGAGCGUCAUAGAGGGUGAGAAUCCCGUCUUUGACACGGACUACCGAGGCUUUGUGGUGCGCUCUCAACGAGUCGAGUUGUUUGGGAAUGCAGCUCAAAAUGGGUGGUAAAUUCCAUCUAAAGCUAAAUAUUGGCGAGAGACCGAUAGCGAACAAGUACCGUGAGGGAAAGAUGAAAAGAACUUUGGAAAGAGAGUUAAACAGUACGUGAAAUUGCUGAAAGGGAAACGCUUGAAGUCAGUCGCGUUAGCCGGAAAUCAGCCUUCCUUUUGGUUGGUGUACUUUCUGGUUGACGGGCCAGCAUCAGUUUUGACCGGUGGAUAAAGUUGUGAGGAAUGUGGCAUCUUCGGGUGUGUUAUAGCCUCGCUUCGUAUACAUCGGUUGGGACUGAGGAACUCAGCACGCCGCAAGGCCGGGAUUCGUCCACGUUCGUGCUUAGGAUGCUGGCAUAAUGGCUUUAAUCGACCCGUCUUGAAACACGGACCAAGGAGUCUAACAUGCCUGCGAGUGUUUGGGUGGAAAACCCGAGCGCGUAAUGAAAGUGAAAGUCGAGAUCCUUGUCAUGGGGAGCAUCGACGCCCGGACCAGACGUUUUCUGACGGUUCUGCGGUAGAGCAUGUAUGUUGGGACCCGAAAGAUGGUGAACUAUGCCUGAAUAGGGUGAAGCCAGAGGAAACUCUGGUGGAGGCUCGUAGCGAUUCUGACGUGCAAAUCGAUCGUCAAAUUUGGGUAUAGGGGCGAAAGACUAAUCGAACCCAUCUAGUAGCUGGUCCUGCGA